GUGGGGAAUAUUGGACAAUGGGCGAAAGCCUGAUCCAGCCAUGCCGCGUGUGUGAAGAAGGUCUUCGGAUUGUAAAGCACUUUAAGUUGGGAGGAAGGGCAGUAAGUUAAUACCUUGCUGUUUUGACGUUACCGACAGAAUAAGCACCGGCUAACUUCGUGCCAGCAGCCGCGGUAAUACGAAGGGUGCAAGCGUUAAUCGGAAUUACUGGGCGUAAAGCGCGCGUAGGUGGUUUUGUAAGUUGGAGGUGAAAUCCCCGGGCUCAACCUGGGAACUGCCUCCAAAACUGCAUGACUAGAGUACGGUAGAGGGUAGUGGAAUUUCCUGUGUAGCGGUGAAAUGCGUAGAUAUAGGAAGGAACACCAGUGGCGAAGGCGACUACCUGGACUGAUACUGACACUGAGGUGCGAAAGCGUGGGGAGCAAACAGGAUUAGAUACCCCGGUAGUCC
rnacentral:rRNA from 1 species